rnacentral:rRNA from 1 species
AUGAAGAUACCGGUGCAAAGAAAGUGUGACGGGAGCGUGUCAUGCACGGAUGGUGGGGUGAUCUCGGAUACCGAGUUCCCACGGUUCGACGACGGUGCCAAGCGAGGGAAACAACUAACGUUCACGGGAGGAUACAACAUCCAAACAUGCAUCUCAAACAACACAUGCAUUCGUUCACAGACGAUCGUCUCGGUGGUAUACCGUCGAAGCAUGCGUUUCAGGCGGAACAAGUUCGUAGUGGAAGUGGGGGAAGUAGAUGUUCUCGCGACGGUAGUUGUACAUGUUGGCGGUAGUCGAACUUGA